GUCUACGGCCAUGCCACCCUGAAUGUGCCCAAUCUCGUCUGAUCUCGGAAGCUAAGCAGGGUCGGGCCUGGUUAGUACUUGGAUGGGAGACCACCUAGGAAGACUAGGUGCUGUGGGUG
rnacentral:rRNA from 1 species